rnacentral:sRNA from 1 species
UUCACACGCUUCAGUUCACAACUUCCAUCCAGAAUCCUACUUCUCUGAUUGUCCUCAUGGGGAAAGUAUGCUAUUUCCUUCAUCCUACAAGAUGCUUCUCACUGACUCUAUCCAUAUUCUUCUCAUCCUUCAAGAGCCAAGUCAAAUCUCUCUGCUUCCAAUAAGCCUUCCUUGUUACACUCAGAAAUGGAAUGAAUCCCCAAGAUGGCUUAAGGAUGCCCUUCUGUUUUGGAAUGCUUUAUCUUGGUGUAUAUCAAGGUUGGUUCAGUUUACCAGAGAAAAGAUGCCAGCUCUACAUCAAGGGUCAGGAAUAUAAAGAAGAGAAGUGGCCAUUUUCUUAAUCCAGUCUAUCAUUGUUGGACAUUUGGGUUGGUUCCAAGUCUUUGCUAUUUGUCAUAAAGAAGAAUAUUUGAAGCUCUAUAAAUAUGUUGCUUUACAUGGCAAAAAGGGCUUUACAGAUCUGAGUACACUGGAUUAUCUGGGUGGGCACAA